UGCGUAGGCGGGUCUUUAAGUCAGGGGUGAAAUCCUGGAGCUCAACUCCAGAACUGCCUUUGAUACUGAAGAUCUUGAGUUCGGGAGAGGUGAGUGGAACUGCGAGUGUAGAGGUGAAAUUCGUAGAUAUUCGCAAGAACACCAGUGGCGAAGGCGGCCCACUGGCCCGAUACUGACGCUGAGGCACGAAAGCGUGGGAGGCAAACA
rnacentral:rRNA from 1 species